rnacentral:rRNA from 1 species
UACGGAGGGUGCGAGCGUUAUUCGGAAUUACUGGGCGUAAAGCGCGUGGAGGCGGCUUGACAAGUCUGAUGUGAAAGCCCUGGGCUCAACCUGGGAAGUGCAUUGGAAACUGUCAGGCUUGAGUACCGGAGAGGAUGGGGGAAUUCCCGGUGUAGAGGUGAAAUUCGUAGAGAUCGGGAGGAAUACCAGUGGCGAAGGCGCCCAUCUGGACGGUAACUGACGCUGAGACGCGAAAGCGUGGGGAGCAAACAGG